rnacentral:lncRNA from 1 species
UUAUUCAAACAUUGCUUCCAAAUGCCUCACAUAAUCUUUUGAGGUGUUACUAAAAUUAAUAACAUCAUCAAUAUAGCAUUUUAAAAGUGACAAGCUAAAUAAAAUUUGAUCCAACAUCCAUUGAAACUUAGUUGGUAUUUUUUUAAAACCAAAUAGAAGAAACUUCUAAUGAUAUAAUUGAUCUUUGUUAUUUUGAUCAACUCUUAAAAAUACUAUCUUUGCCUAAUCUUUAAUAAGUUAUGACAAUUGAUGAUAACUAGAUCUUAAAUUCAAAAUAUUGAAUAUUCAAGAGAAUUCUAUUAUAUUAAAUAAUUCUUUUGACAUUGGCAUUGAAUAUCAACCAAACUUAAUCUUAUAAUUAAUUGAAUGGUAGUAUCUAAACAUCCGCUGUCAUAAUACGUGGCGUUUGACUUGAGAAUGCAUUGAGUACCUCGCUGUAGAAGAUAAAAGAAAAAUUACAAUAAGUCCUAAAAAUUCUAAUAUAUUCUUAAAUAAAUUAAAAUUAAAUAUUAGUAAGUAUAAGCAAACAUUAAUCAAAUUCAAUCAAAAUUACAAAGGAAUUAUUUAAAAAACACAAAGUAUUCCAAAAGAUCCUUUAAAGAAAUCAUAAAGAAAUAACAUAGGAAUUCAAAAAUAUACUAAAAUAGAAAUCUUAAUAAAUAAUUAAAAUAGAAACCUUAAUUAGAUCCUAAUCAAAUCCUAAUCAAAUUUUAAAUAAAUCCUAAUCAAAUCCUAGUCAAAUCUUAAAAAAUCCUAAUCAAAUCCUAAUCAAAUCUUAAUCAAAAUUUAACCAAAUUUUAAUCAAAUCCUAAAUAAAUCCUAAUCAAAUCCUAAUCAAUCUUAAAUAAAUCUUAGUCAAAUCCUAAAAAAAUCCUAACCAAACCCUAAAUAAAUCCUAGUCAAAUCCUAACCAUAUCCUAAAUAAAUCCUAACAAAAUCCUAAAUAAUCCCAAGUAAUUCCUAUAGAAGAUUUUAACCUCAAUAACUAAUUAAUGAACUAUUGAUUUUAACUCCAAUUUUGUACACCUCUUAAUAAUUAAAUUAAAAACAAGCACAAAAGUUUUGAAAAAGAUCGAAUUCACCAAAAAGAAGAUCAAUCCUAAUAUCUAUUCAAAUGUUGGCCGGCCUCCUUUUCCAAUCUAAAUAUUAAAUUUUUAGUGCCAAUAUCUCCUUAUUGAACUAUUUAAUUUAUUUUAAAUUUCUUACAUAUAUAAGAGAAUAAGUCUACUACCCACACACAUAACUUUCACUCCAAUCUAAUUAAUAGAUUGCAAGAAAUCUUAAAAAUCCUCACUAGGCCUAAAACUCUACUUUCUUAGAUUCUGAUCCAUUUAAAUCUCAAUAACCCUUAAUCCAACCCUUUGAUCAAGUUCAAACUCACAGCAUAUAUUGAACACAUAUACACCCACAAAUCUUCAAAAUAUCACUUAUAGAUCUAUUACCAAACUUAUAGUAUUUUUCAAAAAAUAUCUCUCAUUUUAUUUUACAAAUUUAGAGUCACCCUAAACAAAUCCUAACUUUGCAAAGCUCUUACAAAGUCAAUACAAAUCCAAAUCAUCCAAAUUCAAUGCUCAUCAAAAUUUUAUCAAGUCUACUUUCUAAUCCUAUUCUCCAAUCUACCAAAGAACCCUGGAAUUGUCAUCGAGACUUGGUUUUAUACCUUAGGGUUUGAUUUCAAUCUUGGUUCAUAACUGGCCUUCUCCAAGUAUCAAUAUCUAAUUUUUUUUAGAUAAUUUUUACUAGAAUUUAAUCUUAAUUUCUUCUUCAAGAUGCCUAUAUCAUUUAUUUUUCCAAUCUACUUUGUUUUGUCUUAUUUAUGGCCCUACAAAAUAAGUAGAAGUCACUUUUCUAAAAAGAUAGCAUUACUACUAAAAGUUUUACUACCUUCUUAUCUUUUAUCCAUACUUUUUUGCUUUAUCUUUUAA